CCUACGGGAGGCAGCAGUGGGGAAUAUUGCACAAUGGGGGAAACCCUGAUGCAGCGACGCCGCGUGAAGGAAGAAGUAUUUCGGUAUGUAAACUUCUAUCAGCAGGGAAGAAAAUGACGGUACCUGACUAAGAAGCCCCGGCUAACUACGUGCCAGCAGCCGCGGUAAUACGUAGGGGGCAAGCGUUAUCCGGAUUUACUGGGUGUAAAGGGAGCGGAGGCGGUUUAGCAAGUCAGAAGUGAAAGCCCGGGGCUCAACUCCGGGACUGCUUUUGAAACUGUUGAACUAGAGUGCAGGAGAGGUAAGUGGAAUUCCUAGUGUAGCGGUGAAAUGCGUAGAUAUUAGGAGGAACACCAGUGGCGAAGGCGGCUUACUGGACUGUAAAUGACGCUGAGGCUCGAAAGCGUGGGGAGCAAACAGGAUUAGAUACCCGGGUAGUC
rnacentral:rRNA from 1 species